GGCCAGACUCCUACGGGAGGCAGCAGUGAGGAAUAUUGGUCAAUGGUCGGGAGACUGAACCAGCCAAGCUGCGUGAGGGAUGAAGGUACAGAGUAUCGUAAACCUCUUUUGUCAGGGAACAAAGGCGGGGACGCGUCCCCGGAUGAGUGUGCCUGAAGAAAAAGCAUCGGCUAACUCCGUGCCAGCAGCCGCGGUAAUACGGAGGAUGCGAGCGUUAUCCGGAUUUAUUGGGUUUAAAGGGUGCGUAGGCGGACUGUAAAGUCGGGGGUAAAAGCCCGGGGCUCACCCCCGGCGAGCCGUUGAAACUGGCUGUCUUGAGAUGUCGAGAGGUAUGCGGAAUGCGCAGUGUAGCGGUGAAAUGCUUAGAUAUCGCGCAGAACUCCGAUUGCGAAGGCAGCAUGCCGGCUCCACACUGACGCUGAGGCACGAAAGCGUGGGUAUCGAACAGGAUUAGAUACCCGUGUAC
rnacentral:rRNA from 1 species